GAUCAUGGCUCGGGAUGAACGCUAGCUACAGGCUUAACACAUGCAAGUCGAGGGGCAGCAUGGUCUUAGCUUGCUAAGGCCGAUGGCGACCGGCGCGCGGGUGAGUAACACGUAUCCAACCUGCCGUCUACUCUUGGACAGCCUUCUGAAAGGAAGAUUAAUACAAGAUGGCAUCAUGAGUCCGCAUGUUCACAUGAUUAAAGGUAUUCCGGUAGACGAUGGGGA
rnacentral:rRNA from 1 species